rnacentral:rRNA from 1 species
UACGUAGGGGGCAAGCGUUGUCCGGAUUUAUUGGGCGUAAAGAGCGUGUAGGCGGCCAUACAGGUCAGCUGUGAAAACUCGAGGCUCAACCUCGAGACGUCGGUUGAAACCGUAUGGCUAGAGUCCGGAAGAGGAGAGUGGAAUUCCCGGUGUAGCGGUGAAAUGCGCAGAUAUCGGGAAGAACACCCGUGGCGAAGGCGGCGAUCUGGGUCGAUACUGACGCUGAGGUGCGAAAGCGUGGGGAGCAAACAGG